rnacentral:rRNA from 1 species
CGGGCAUGCACGUGCCCAGAGCCACGGUAAUAAGUAGGGUGGAAGCGUGAAUCGGAAUGACUGGGCGUAAAGCGUGCGCAGGCGGUUUGAAAAGUCAGCUGUGAAAGCCCCGGGCUCAACCUGGGAACUGCGGUUGAAACUCUCAAGCUAGAGUGCGUCAGAGGGGGGUGGAAUUCCACGUGUAGCAGUGAAAUGCGUAGAGAUGUGGAGGAACACCAAUGGCGAAGGCAGCCCCCUGGGAUGACACUGACGCUCAUGCACGAAAGCGUGGGGAGCAAACAGGAUUAGAUACCCUAGUAUC